rnacentral:rRNA from 1 species
CUCUAGCGAGAUAAUUAGGUGAUCGUACCGUAAACCGACACAGGUAGGCGGGGAGAGUAUCCCAAGGCGCUUGAGAGAACCCUGGUUAAGGAACUCGGCAAAAUGACACCGUAACUUCGGAAGAAGGUGUGCCCUCAUUAGGUGAAGUUCCUUGCGAGCGGAGCCGAAGGGGGUUGCAGAGAAACGGCGGGAGCGACUGUUUACUAAAAACACAGGACUCUGCUAAGUCGCAAGACGAUGUAUAGGGUCUGACGCCUGCCCGGUGCUGGAAGGUUAAGGGGAGAUGUUAUUUCCCCCGAUUCGUCGGGGGAGAGAAGCUUCGAACCGAAGCCNCAGUAAACGGCGGCCGUAACUAUAACGGUCCUAAGGUAGCGAAAUUCCUUGUCGGGUAAGUUCCGACCUGCACGAAUGGCGUAACGACUUCCGCACUGUCUCAACCAGGGACUCAGCGAAAUUGAAUUGGCGGUGAAGAUGCCGUCUACCCGCGAAAAGACGGAAAGACCCCGGCACCUUUACUACAGCUUGACAUUGGAUUUUGGGAUAGCAUGUGUAGGAUAGGUGGGAGGCUUUGAAGUUCCGCCGCUAGGUGGAAUGGAGCCGCCCUUGAAAUACCACCCUUGCUCUUCUAUGGUUCUAAUUUCGACCCUUGAAUCAGGGCGAAAGACAGUGUCUGGUGGGUAGUUUGACUGGGGCGGUCGC